ACAUGCCUACAACAUAGUGUUAAUGCACUAGAUCCCAUUAGGACUCUGCAAUUAAGUGUGCUUGGGCUAAAGUAGUACUAGGAUGGGUGAUUAGUUGGGAAGUCCUAAUGUUUUACAUGCC
rnacentral:rRNA from 1 species